GGAAAACCAACCAUGUGAUUAGAGAGCUGGGGCUUUGAGCCAUGUGGUAUCAACUCAACCUCUGGGAAGAGGAAGAGAACAAGAGAUUAAGAACCAUGGGCAAUCAUUCAAUUGAUCACGAGAGCAAAGCAUCCUGACUCCAGGAAGAGAGGGCGAAAGAAGCGUCACCUUCAGCAUCCUUCUAGAUCUCGCCCUGUAAGUUUCUCCUUUUGGCUGAUUCUGAUUUACAUCCUUUGGCUAUAAUAACACUGUCAUCGUAAGUACAGCUGCUCCCUGAAUAACUCAGGGGUUGGGGCACCAAUCCCCCACACUGUCAAAAAUCUGCAUAUAACGUUUGAUUCCCAAAAAAAAAAAAUCAUUGAAUAGCCUAUUAUUGAUUUGAAGACUUG
rnacentral:lncRNA from 1 species